UAGCGUAUAUUAAAGUUGUUGCAGUUAGAACGCUCGUAGUCGGAUUUCGGGGCGGGCCGACCGGUCUGCCGAUGGGUACGCACUGGUCGGCGCGUCCUUCCUUCCGGAGACCGUGCCUACUCUUAACUGAGCGGGGGCGGGAGACGGAUCGUUUACUUUGAAAAAAUCAGAGUGUUUCAAGCAGGCAGCUCGCUCUUGCAUGGAUUAGCAUGGGAUAAUGAAAUAGGACUUUGGUGCUAUUUUGUUGGUUUCGAACACCGAAGUAAUGAUUAACAGGGACAGUCAGGGGCACUCGUAUUCCGCCGAGAGAGGUGAAAUUCUCAGACCAGCGGAAGACGAACUACUGCGAAAGCAUUUG
rnacentral:rRNA from 1 species